AGCGAACGCUGGCGGCAAGCUUAACACAUGCAAGUCGAACGAUGUAGCAAUACAUAGUGGCGGACGGGUGCGUAACACGUGGGAAUCUGCCUUUAGGUAAGGAAUAAUUCAGGGAAACUUGAGCUAAUACCUUAUAAUGUCUUCGGACCAAAAAUUUAUUGCCUAAAGAUGAGCCCGCGGUAGAUUAGCUAGUUGGUGGGGUAAUGGCCUACCAAGGCAACGAUCUAUAGCUGGUCUUAGAGGAUGAUCAGCCACAUUGGGACUGAGACACGGCCCAGACUCCUACGGGAGGCAGCAGUGGGGAAUAUUGGGCAAUGGACGAAAGUCUGACCCAGCUAUGCCGCGUGAAUGAUGAAGGCCUUAGGGUUGUAAAGUUCUUUUACCGGGGAAGAUAAUGACGGUACCCGGAGAAAAAGCUCCGGCUAACUUCGUGCCAGCAGCCGCGGUAA
rnacentral:rRNA from 1 species